GGGAUGAGUACAGCGGCGGACGGGUGAGUAACGCGUAGGAAUCUACCCAGUAGUGGGGGACAACUAGUGGAAACGCUAGCUAAUACCGCAUACGCCCUAAGGGGGAAAGCGGGGGAUCUUCGGACCCCGUGCUAUUGGAUGAGCCUGCGUAAGAUUAGCUUGUUGGUGGGGUAAUGGCUCACCAAGGCGACGAUCUUUAGCUGGUCUGAGAGGAUGAUCAGCCACACCGGGACUGAGACACGGCCCGGACUCCUACGGGAGGCAGCAGUCGGGAAUAUUGCGCAAUGGGGAAAACCCUGACGCAGCCAUGCCGCGUGUGUGAAGAAGGCCCUAGGGUUGUAAAGCACUUUCAAUUGGGAGGAAAAGCUAAUGGUUAAUAGCCAUUAGCCCUGACGUUACCUUUAGAAGAAGCACCGGCUAACUCCGUGCCAGCAGCCGCGGUAAUACGGAGGGUGCAAGCGUUAAUCGGAAUUACUGGGCGUAAAGCGCGCGUAGGCGGCUCUUUAAGUCGGAUGUGAAAGCCCCGGGCUCAACCUGGGAACUGCAUCCGAUACUGGAGGGCUAGAGUGUAGGAGAGGGAGGUAGAAUUCCAUGUGUAGCAGUGAAAUGCGUAGAUAUAUGGAGGAAUACCAGUGGCGAAGGCGGCCUCCUGGCUUAACACUGACGCUGAGGUGCGAAAGCGUGGGGAGCAAACGGGAUUAGAUACCCCGGUAGUCCACGCCGUAAACGAUGUCUACUAGCUGUAGGGGUACUUGAGACCUUUGUAGCGCAGCUAACGCAAUAAUAGACC
rnacentral:rRNA from 1 species